GAUGAACGCUAGCUACAGGCUUAACACAUGCAAGUCGAGGGGUAACAAGAGGAAAGCUUGCUUUUCUUGUUGACGACCGGCGCACGGGUGAGUAACGCGUAUCCAACCUGCCUAUAACUAGGGAAUAACCUUGCGAAAGUAAGACUAAUACCCUAUGAUUUCCUUUGAUGACAUCAGAUUAGGAAUAAAGAUUUAUCGGUUAUAGAUGGGGAUGCGUCUGAUUAGCUUGUUGGCGGGGUAACGGCCCACCAAGGCAACGAUCAGUAGGGGUUUUGAGAGGAAGGUCCCCCACAUUGAAACUGAGACACGGUCCAAACUCCUACGGGAGGCAGCAGUGAGGAAUAUUGGUCAAGGGGCGGAAGCCUGAACCAGCCAAGUAGCGUGCAGGAUGACGGCCCUAUGGGUUGUAAACUGCUUUUAUACAGGAAUAAAGUUAGCCACGUGUGGUUAUUUGUAGGUACUGUAUGAAUAAGGACCGGCUAAUUCCGUGCCAGCAGCCGCCGUAA
rnacentral:rRNA from 1 species